UUCGCGCGAAUAUGACUCGCUUGCUUUUCGUUCUCCAAAGUUUUAUCCACCUCAUUUUCUGCUCUAUCCCAGCAACAAUCGGAACUGUAAUACUCGAUUCCUCGCACAUUGCAGGUUGACAACUGAUAAGAAACCUUUCUGACCCAAUUAGAACAGUACGCACGUAAUAAAUCUGGGGGCGUUCCUUACGAUAGACUUCUUCCACUAUCGGUCCUUCCGCAUUUCAUUUUCAAUCACAGAGAAAGAAAAAUCGUGAUUCACUUCGAGGUUCAGGGGGUCACAUAUUGCGAAAUGUUUGAAACAAUAAAUAAGGAGUUAUAUAUAAAUUCCGCAUUGAAACGGUCUGUGACAAAUCGAGACAAACUUCUCGUUGCUCCGCACGAACACGACGUAAUAAUCACGGGCUCUGCGGUUGAUGCAGUGUCAAGCUGAACGGCAAUGUUGUGUGAUUAGACGCUAUUUAUUCGAGUCUGCGGAUCAUCUUCGAGUUUCAAAUUGAAGACGCCCAAUUUUCAACAGAAGUUUCCACUGCAAAGGAGAAUACUCGGCACCAUGUAUCGUAUAAAAAUUAGACG
rnacentral:misc_RNA from 1 species